rnacentral:snoRNA from 15 species
GUGCACAUUUCAUUGACCUGCUUCCAUUUAUAUGUGAGCAGUGUUAUUUCUUAUGUGCUAAACAAGUAGCUGAAGGUUAAUUAGCAGUUUAACUGAACGUAGUAAUGCUGCCAGUCUCCUUCACACAAAA